UACGAGGGGUCCUAGCGUUGUUCGGAAUCAUUGGGCGUAAAGCGGGUGUAGGCGGAUUCGUAAGUCAGAAGUGAAAGCCCUGGGCUCAACCCAGGAAGUGCUUUUGAAACUACGGAUCUUGAGUAUGGUAGAGGCUAGUGGAAUUCCUGGUGUAGUGGUGAAAUACGUAGAUAUCAGGAGGAACAUCGGUGGCGAAGGCGGCUAGCUGGACCAAUACUGACGCUCAGACCCGAAAGCGUGGGGAGCGAACCGG
rnacentral:misc_RNA from 1 species